UACGUAGGGUGCGAGCGUUGUCCGGAAUUAUUGGGCGUAAAGAGCUCGUAGGCGGUCUGUCGCGUCUGCUGUGAAAACCCGAGGCUCAACCUCGGGCCUGCAGUGGGUACGGGCAGACUAGAGUGCGGUAGGGGAGAAUGGAAUUCCUGGUGUAGCGGUGGAAUGCGCAGAUAUCAGGAGGAACACCAAUGGCGAAGGCAGCUCGCUGGGACGGUACUGACGCUGAGACGCGAAAGCGUGGGGAGCAAACAGG
rnacentral:rRNA from 1 species